ACAGCUGCGGUUGUGCUGUGUACUGUAGUUGGUGGUGAAGCAGUCUGAAGUAAAAGACAAAUGGCGAGAGGGAGAAGACAAAAUCGAUACAUGAAGAAACUGUUCAUCCUUCGAGGUUUGCCAGGAGUUGGAAAGACAGAGAGGGCAAAAGGACUCUGGGACGAACAUGCAAGACUUGGACGGAAAGGAGAAAUUUUCUCCGCUGACAGGUACCAUGAAAGGACCAACUACACCAAAGGAAACUUUCAACACAACCAUCAGCAGAAUAGAGAGGAUGUUUUUAAAGCCAUGAACAGAGGUGUGGAUCCGAUCAUCGUUGACAACACAAACAUUUCUCUUUGGGAGAUGUGGCCCUAUAUCCACAUGGUGAGGACGUGUGUGUGUGUGUGUGUGUGUGUGUGUGUGUGUGUGUGUGUGUGUGUGUGUUUGAAAUGCAUAUGAUUUCUAGUUUAGUUAGUCCCAGCUACCAGACAUUGCAGAGACAUUUCAAUGUUAUUUUUGUAACGCUCCACUUAUUUUCUAGUCAUUGUCACAUCCUUUGUACUUGUGAACCUAAACGACAUCUGACUAACUACAAGACUGGUUGAAGCUGGUUUCCAGAUGACUUCCUACUAGGUGGUGCUAGCGGCAGAGUCAGAUAGUUUCCUCUUGGUUAGACAUGUUGUUGAUAAAUCUGACAUUUUAUUCUACUUUUUACAAUGUUAUUAAUAUACCAAUUGGUCUUCUGACAGACAGACAGAUGGACAGAUUAAACAGACUCAUUGGGGCGGCAGGGUAGCCUAGUGGUUAGAGCGUUGGACUAGUAACCGGAAGGUUGCAAGUUCAAACCCCUGAGCUGACAAGGUACAAAUCUGUCAUUAUGCCCCUGAACAGGCAGUUAACCCACUGUUCCUAGGCCGUCAUUGAAAAUAAGAAUUUGUUCUUAACUGACUGGUCUAGUUAAAUAAAGGUGUAAAAAAGAAAACGUACAGUAUUAUUAUUGCAUGGAACUUCCUUCCAUCUCAUAUUGCUCAAAUAAACAGCAAACCUGGUUUCAAAAAUCAGAUAAAGCAACACCUCUCGGCACAACGCCUCUCCCCUAUUUGACCUAGAUAGUUUGUGUGUAUGCAUUGAUAUGUAGGCUACGUGUGCCUUUUUAAAAAUGUAUGUAGUUCUGUCCUUGAGCUGUUCUUGUCUAAUGAUGUUCUGUAUAUUAUGUCAUUCUUACAAGGCCCCGCCCUCCUCCACCUUUUCCUUCGUAUGUUCUUUACGCUAAUGACGGGGAUUUGGGCCUUGUCUUGACAAAGCAUUAUAUCCUUUGCGUCGGGACUCAUUUAAGAAAAAUCUUUGUCCAGUUCGAGGUGAGUAAUCGCUGUUCGGAUGUCCAGAAGCUAUUUUCGGUCAUAAGAGACGGUAGCAGCAACAUUAUGUACAAAAUGAGUUACAAACAAUGUGAAGGAAAAAAAAAUGGCUCAGUUGGUUAGGAGUCCGUAAAACGGCAGCCAUCCCCUCCGGCGCCAAUCUAUAAAAGUAGUGAUGAAGUCAAUCUCUCCUCCACUUUGAGCCAGGAGGGAUUGACAUGCAUAUUAUUAUUGUUAGCUCUCUGUGUACAUCCAAGGGCCACCUGUGCUUCCCUGUUGUGAGCCAAUUGCAAUUUUCCUAAGUCCCUCUUUGUGGCACUUCACCACACAACUGAACAGUAGUCCAGGUGAGACAAAACUAGGACCUUCCUUGUUGAUAGUGCUGUUAAGAAGGUAGAGAAGGACUUAAUUAUGGACAGACCUCCCCCCAUCUAAGCUACUUUUGUAUCAUUGUAUAUCAUUUUGUUUUUACCAUGACAGUUUACAAUCCUGUUUAGUCACCUCAACUUGCUCAAUUUCCACAUUAUUUAUUACAAGAUUUAGUUGAGGUUUAGGGUUUAGUGAAUGAUUUGUCCCAAAUUCAAUGCCUGAAGUUUUUUAAAUAUUUAGGACUAACUUAUUCCUUGCCACCCAUUCUGAAACUAACUGCAGCUCUUUGUUAAGUGUUGAAGUCAUUUCAGUCUCUGUAGUAGCUGACGUGUAUAGUGUUGAGGCAUCCGCAUACAUAGACACACUAUUUUAAUUCAUAGGCAGUGGCAUGUCAUUAGUAAAGAUUGAAAAAAGUAAGGGGCCUAGACAGCUGCCCUGGGGAAUUGCUGAUUGUACCUGUACCUAUGUUGGAGAGGCUUCCAUUAAAGAACACCCUCUGUGUUCUGUUAGACAGGUAACUCUUGAUCCACACUAUAGCAGGGGGUGUAAAGCAGUAAAACAUACGUUUUUACAACGGCAGACUAUGAUCGAUAAGGUCCAAAGCCGCACUGAAGUCUAACAAAACAACCCCCACAAUCUUUUUAUGAUCCUCUCUGCCAAUCAUCAGUCAUUUGUGUAAGUGCUGUACUUGUUGAAUGUCCUUCCCUAUAAGCGUGCUGAAAGUUUGUUGUCAGUUUGUUUACAGUAAAAUAGCAUUGUAUCUGGUCAAACACAAUUUUUUUCAAAACUUUACUAAAGGUUGGUAACAGGCUGAUUAGUCGGCUAUUUGAGCCAGUAAAGGGCUUUAUUAUUCUUAGGAAGUGGAAUGACUUUUGCUUCCCUCCAGCCCUGAGGGCACACACUUUCUAGUAGGCUUAAAUUGAAGAUAUGGCAAACAGGAGUGGCAAUAUCGUCCGCUAUUAUCCUCAGUAACUUUCCAACCCAGUUGUCAGACCCCUGUGGCUUGUUAUUGUUAAUAGACAACAAUACAUUUUUCACCUCUUCCACACUUACUUUACGGAAUUCAAAAUUACAAUGCUUGUCUUUCAUAAUUUGGUCAGAUAUACUUGGAUGUGUCGUGUCAGUGUUUGUUGCUGGCAUGUCAUGUCUAAGUUUGCCAAUGAAAAAAUCAUUAAAGAAGUUGGCAACAUCAGUCGGUGAGGGAGAUGAAGUGAAUUAAUAAAGUUUUUGGUGACAAUCAGCUUUGAAAUUAACAUAUUUUGCAUUAUUCUUUGCAAUCAAAGUAUUGGGGUAGUGAAUUGAGCUGUAAGCUAGCAAAUAAAGUUAGCCUACAAUUAAAGCUGGAAGCGACCGGUGUCGUUCGGCAUUGUAAAAGUGUUCUAGUCUGUAUGGACAUUAUUUUGCGAACAUUAAUAAACAGUUUCAACAUUUCUA